UUCAAACAUUAAUUCCAUUAGCACAGUUUCUCACUUUUAUUCUUAAGCAUUGCAUAACAUUCAUAAGAGUCAAAAAUUGAAAAAUAAUUUUAUAUUCAUUGGGAGAUGAAUCAUGGUUACUUUAACCUUAUCUACUUGAAUACUACUUGACAAUACUGAAGUCGCCUUGAAAAGUAGUAUUCAUUUGAUAGCUUCAACCUCAACGUAUC
rnacentral:lncRNA from 1 species